GCUAGGCUGGUAUUUUCCUGCCAGCACCAAGGAGGAAGGAGCUUUCUGUCAUGGGAGAAAGGAGAAGCUAAUGCAGGAGCAGCAUUUAGCACUGCUGUGAAAUGAAGAAUCCCCGUGCAUUUGCUUAAAAUUUCAUUACUAGACAACUAGUAAUGCAUUCUACUCAUUGUAUUCCUGCGUGGAAUUAAUGUACACAGACUGCAGUAUAUCUUUGACCUACCUCUAGUCCCAUUUAUAUUAGUGUGCAUGAAGAUCAACUCUGCAGAAUUACAGCAAUAUGAAGCAGAAGUGACACCACAGUUGGACCCAAUCAAAAAGAACAGGAUGGAUGGUACCUUAGAGGAAAACUCCUUAAGAAAGACAUGAACUUGCAUAGGCAAAUCCUAAUUCAUCUGAUGCUAUAAAUAAAUCUCUAAGGGAAUUACAAGCUUGCUCCAUAAAAGGAACCAGGUGCUGGCUAUAUCACAGAGUAAGCCCUCCUGAACACGAAGUGUCCAGGAAGUGUGACCUCUCAGAACAAAAUUUGGUGAUGCCGAUAGACACUUCAAGAUGUCAGAACAGGAGUAGGACAACCACUAUUACCUCUUACUGUCAAGGGCCACUCAAGGAGACCAGAAAGGGAACACAAGUACAGCAUUGCAAUGACAUACUGCUGAUAGAGAGAAAUCAUGCCAGGUUAUUGAUUUCAUUUAUCGUGGCAGCUUGUAAGAAGACUUGAAUUAAAGAACACCUAUUAAAGUGCAUUAGUCAAGUCUGUAAUGAAACUGCACUACAGAUGAAAAUACCAGAGGCAGAAUGAAAUGAUGGAUGUUGCUUCUUUGAAAGUGUAU